rnacentral:tRNA from 1 species
GCGGGGGUGGUGGAACUGGUAGACACGCUAGAUUUAGGAUCUAGUGCCGCAAGGCGUGGGGGUUCAAAUCCCCCCUCCCGCA